rfam:Ipomoea nil DNA, scaffold: scaffold2212, cultivar: Tokyo-kokei standard.
GCGUUUGUAGUCCAACGGUUAGGAUAAUUGCCUUCUAAGCAAUACACCCGGGUUCUACUCCCAUGCAGCCCUA